rnacentral:rRNA from 1 species
UACGUAGGGGGCUAGCGUUGUCCGGAUUUAUUGGGCGUAAAGAGCGUGUAGGCGGCCAGGUAGGUCUGCUGUGAAAACUCGAGGCUCAACCUCGAGACGUCGGCGGAAACCAUCUGGCUAGAGUCCGGAAGAGGAGAGUGGAAUUCCUGGUGUAGCGGUGAAAUGCGCAGAUAUGUCACAGAACACCAAUUGCGAAGGCAGCUUACUAUGGUUAUAUUGACACUGAGGCACGAAAGCGUGGGGAUCAAACAGG